CCUGGGCGGGCGAGUGACUCAAGAUCCCGGAGUUCCCGCUCCUAGACACCAAACCUUCAGGUUUCCAGCCCCCUCCUCCCUCUGACCCAGGAGUCCGGGCCCCUAGUCCCUCCUUCCUCGGGUCCCAGACUUCUCCUCCUUCAGAACCAAGGAGUCUGAACUCUCAAAUCCCCAACCUUCCUCAAGACCCAAGGAUCGGGUCAGCAAACAGCCUAGUGCUCCCCGAAGGACACCAGCCCAAUGGAGAUGGUCUGCAGGAAUGGCCGGAUGGCAGGCGUGAACUGUGGAGAGACGCGGCUGCGUCACCCACCGCUCAAGAGAGGGAUGGGGACAGGGCAGGAGCGAGGCACAGGGAUGUGCGGGGAAGACACAUUCAUUCAGUAAACGUUUCAUGAGCUCCUACUGUGUGCUGGGCAUAGCUCUCGGCUGGUUCACGGACCUGAUGUUCUCAAAGGGAAAACAAAUGAUCAGCAGAUAAGCAAAGCCACGCGCAGUAUCAUGACAAGGAAUGACGAAUGGUUUGGAAAAAAAAAAAGGCAGUAGGUGGAGAGGGCACCAGUGAUGACUAGGGGUCAGGCUACUUAGCGGGUCUCGGAGGAGAGAUCUGACUGAAGCGAGGGGAGGGUGUUCCCUGCACAGGGAACAGAGAGCAUGAAGGCUUAAAGGUGAGCUCAUAGGAGGCUGAGGCAGGAGAAUCGCUUGAACCCAGGAGGCAGAGGUUGCAGUGAGUGGAGAUCACACCACUGCACUCCAGCCUGGGCGACAGAGCGAGACUCUGUCUCUAAAAAAAAAAAAAGGUGAGCUCAUGCUUGGUGCUUGACCUGGGUAGCGACAGUCAGGGGGCCAGUGUGGCUGGAGCAGAGUGAGCAGUGGGGAGAGGGGCAGGUGGUGACAUUGGAGAGGCAAAGGGGGCUCAUAUAGGGCCUGGGCAGAGGAAUUUGGAUUUCAUUCCCAGUGCGGGGUGGUGCCACUGGUAGGCUGUGAGGUGGGGAGUAGGAUGGUGCAGGGACUUCCUGAAAGUCAGAGAGAGGAUGGAUGGGGAGAGGAGGCAGCUGGAAGACAGGAACAGGGAGAUGGCCAGAGACAGCCCCCCAGGCACAGGGACCUGAGGCAGAAAGACAGUCAGAGAGGGAGACUGAGGCCUAGACAUAGGACCAGCCAGCCACCACGGGGGCAGGGAGAGACAGCGUCUGACAGAGCAGACAGGCAGUUAAGGAAAGACAGUGGGGUCCAGGUGCAGUGGCUCAUGCCUGUAAACCCAGUACUUUGGGAGGCCAAGGUGGGUGGAUCACUUGAGGUCAGGAGUUUGAGACCAGCCUGGCCAACAUGGUGAAACCCCAUCUCUACUAAACAAAAUACAAAAAAAAAAAAAAAAAAAAAUACAAUGGGGACACAGGAUUAGAGGAAAUGGAGCCAUAGGAGGCCAAGGCAAGGGAUUGGCGGGUUCUUCUGUUCACUCUGUACUGGCCAAGUUCCUACUGCAUGCUAGACACUGGGCUGGAGCAGUGACCAAGACAGGGGAGGCCUCUGCCCUCCCGGGGACGGACAUUUUAAAGGGGAGACUGCCCUGCACCAAGGCAGAGCUGGGCCCUGCCCCUGGCUGUGCGCCCAGUAGGCCAGAGGGCACCUGAUGCCUGGCUAUUGUGGCUGGGAUGCUGGUUUGGGCAGCCCCGGGAUCUCUUUCUCAUGACUCUAGGGUCACGGCUGGGACACAGGGAGGAGCUGGCUGGCCCAGCUGGGCUGAUCAAUACUUGUGGGUUCAGCCCUGGUGAGGGGAGGUUUCCAGGAAUGCCUGGGCUGGGUUGCUGAGGAUAGGCUAGCCUGAAGGGAAGC
rnacentral:lncRNA from 1 species